rnacentral:rRNA from 1 species
CCUACGGAGGCAGCAGUGGGGAAUAUUGCACAAUGGGCGCAAGCCUGAUGCAGCCAUGCCGCGUGUAUGAAGUAAGGCCUUCGGGUUGUAAAGUACUUUCAGCAGUGAGGAAGGUGGGUAUGUUAAUAGCAUACUCAUUUGACGUUAGCUGCAGAAGAAGCACCGGCUAACUCCGUGCCAGCAGCCGCGGUAAUACGGAGGGUGCGAGCGUUAAUCGGAAUUACUGGGCGUAAAGCGCAUGCAGGUGGUUUGUUAAGUCAGAUGUGAAAGCCCGGGGCUCAACCUCGGAAUUGCAUUUGAAACUGGCAAACUAGAGUACUGUAGAGGGGGUAGAAUUUCAGGUGUAGCGGUGAAAUGCGUAGAGAUCUGAAGGAAUACCGGUGGCGAAGGCGGCCCCCUGGACAGAUACUGACACUCAGAUGCGAAAGCGUGGGGAGCAAACAGGAUUAGAUACCCUGGUAG